CUGUCAUUCUUUCCUCUAUUUGGAAUGAUUCUAACCUUCUAUAUUUUGGCAGGAUGGUGAAUUAGUCCAUGGGUAAAGUUUAACAAGAAACUUGUAACAAUCUCGUUAUUGUAAUCUCAGGUUGAAGAAUGAAAUGUCUUAAAGAUCAAAUUAACCUCAUGGUUUGCAGUACUAUGUUUAGAAUGUCUUUAUUCUUAGGUUGUUCCUCUCCUCUUUCAAUGCAAAUGUGUGGCUGGUGCUCAGUGAGUUGUGUCCUUAUGUAUUCAGCUGGAAUCACCAACUAUGUCAGUACUGAGGACAGUCUUCAAGGAAUGACCACUGGCAGAUGGGAAACUUGAGGUCUGUGCCCUUUGGCGACGCGUUCUGACUGAAAUACCAAUUGAAGUUGAAGUAAAAGCCAUCAUAUAGUAUUGGAUUAAGUGUUUUGAUAAAGGAUCCUGAAUGAACUGAAGCAUUGUUCAAAACUUUCGACUUCACCAAAACCAACAGAAUCUGAAAAAUUGUCAUAUUCUAGUAGAGCCUAAGAAGUAUUUCAAAUAAAUGCAAUGUACCCUGCAUGAGAUCUCGGAACAGGGAGAAACCAAUGUCAUCGCAGUAAAAUAUGGAGCUCACCUUAUUUGAAUGUGUUGAAUUGGUCCAAUAACUGUAAAGAAUACAUCAAAACAAUUUAAAAUGUCAAUAGAGGAAACUGAGUGUGAGAUAUCAGAAAACUCUACACUAUUUUUGCCAUCAAUCUGUUAAUCUAAAACAAAAAAUUUGUUUAAUUAAAACAAUUUAGAAAAAACUCAAAUAAUUUACUUUUUUUUUUUUUUUUUUUUUUGUCUUUUUCUUUUUUAUCGGUACCAGGGAAUGAACUCGCGACUGCUUGCUUGCAAGGCAGGCGCUUAUGCCGCUGAGCUAAAUCCCUAGCCCCCAUUUACUGUUUUUGAAUAAGAGAUCCAAGCAUAUAGUUCAUAGCAAAACUGAGUGACAAUCAUCUUUCCUUUCUUUUUUAAUUCUUCAGUUCUCUAAAAUAUACAGAUGAGUUCUUUUUUCGUGAAUCAAUAUUGUUCCCUCACUUUUAUCUGUCUCCCAAUUGUUUUUUUUCUUAAAUUCCUUCCCUAGUUGCCAUCUUUCUUGAUACAAAAUGUUUUCCACCUGACAUAGUUCAGUAGAAAUUUAGUGUGUCCUAUGUUCCUGUUUAUAUUGGAAAAAUGAGCUCCCCAGGCUCUUAUCCUCUACCCACCUUCUCAUUUUUGCUCAGAUUCUAGUAGAUUUGGAGUGAGUGAUAGACAUGUUAUACAUUUUUAGCUAAUUAGAUACACAGAUGAUAUUUAUGAAUUUGCAAAUUUAAAACAGUUUAAUUUUUUUUUUAGAAAAGCUACUGCUAAAAUAGUGAAGAAGAAAGUAAAAGUAGAACUUAACUAACAUGUACUUUAUAUUUAUUGCCAGAUGUCAUAUGCUUAAGAAUCACUAAAUAUAAAUUUCAAAAUAAAUUUGUUGAAAGGCUGAAAA